GGAAAAGAAACCAACAGGGAUUGCCUCAGUAACGGCGAGUGAAGCGGCAAGAGCUCAACUUUGGAAUCGCUCCGGCGAGUUGUAGUCUGGAGGUGGCCACCACGAGGUGUUCUAGCAGCAGGCAAGUCCUUUGGAACAAGGCGCCAGCGAGGGUGACAGCCCCGUACCUGCUUUUGCUAGUGCUUCCUGUGGCCCACCGACGAGUCGAGUUGUUUGGGAAUGCAGCUCUAAGUGGGUGGUAAAUUCCAUCUAAGGCUAAAUAUUGGCGAGAGACCGAUAGCGAACAAGUACAGUGAUGGAAAGAUGAAAAGCACUUUGAAAAGAGAGUGAAACAGUACGUGAAAUUGUUGAAAGGGAAGGGCUUGCACCCAGACACGGUUUCGGCCGGGCCAGCAUCAAGUAGAACGGGGUUAAAAGACUUGGGGAAUGUAGCUACUUCGGUAGUGUUAUAGCCCUUGGUGAUGACCCCUGUUUUGCUUGAGGACAGCGGUCUCUAGGAUGCUGGCGCAAUGGUUGCAAGCCACCC
rnacentral:rRNA from 1 species